rnacentral:lncRNA from 1 species
ACUUUUGUGGUCCGCUUUCCUUGCUGAUGGAGAGGAAUAGUGUCACUCCCAUUUGACUCGGUAACCCGGCAGCUUCCUGUCUUAAACGCAGAGCUGGCGCGCAGGACACUCCUCCUGCAGACACUUAUUACACAAGUUCAUCUGCACCUCGUGCAAAGCAGCCCUGAAAGCUCAGGCUUGAAGACAAAAUGUGGAGCCCAGGCUCCUUCGAUUGAAAACCUCUCUACGAGGACACUCUCCGCAGUGGGCGGCCAGAAAGGAUUUCGGAUCAAGAUCCGCAGAGUGGUCUGAUGCCAACAGGCAGUCCUGCCAGCAGUGACCUGCAACUCCACUGGAUGUGGCAGGCAGGAUCUGUUUCCCUGGCCAUUUUUCGGAGAAGGUCCAGCUGAGAGGCUCAGACAGCCAUAAUGGAUGGGAUCUUUUUAGAGGUACCGAGAAUGCCAUGGUUUCAACCCAAGAAGACAGCAGGGCCAUUAGCAGAAGUGAGACAAGGAGCUGGCUGGAAAGUGAACAUCACAGGCAGAAGGAAGAGGCGUGGCAGGUGCCCCAAGUGACAGAGGACUAAGGAGGGCAAGACCCCAUAUGAGAGAUGUGGACUCGGCCAGCAAUGGCACAGGCAGAGGGAGAUCCUCUCAUGCAGAUCUGAUCUGGGAUAAUGGGAUCAGAAGGCCCUGCUCCAUGGGUCCAUAUGGGAGUAGCUGCCCGCCUGCCCCCACUCUCCCUGCACACAGAGCUGUGGCCCAGCCUUCCACCGACAUGGGGAUGAGCCAGUUGGCAGUGUUUGAGGACAGAUUUCAUAUCCAGCAACUGGGAGCCCUGCCUCAGGCUCGGCUCCGCCUGCCAUGCCACAGAGCAGGACUUGGGUGCUGGCGGCGGGAAGCCCUCAUCACAUGGUUCUGGGGCCUUGGAGAAGACCCUCCACAGCCCUCCUGCUCCCUCCUCAGCAGCCAGGUGCACAGACCAGAGACUGUCCCAUGGGUGACUCCCUGCGUUGGAAGAGAAGCGCUCCUUCCUCCACCUCCUCACAGAGGAGGAGACUGAAACCAAGAUAAAUCAAGGGACGUGCCCAGCUCCACAGGGACUCACCGGUGGAGUACGGAGAAGAACAAAGCCUCAAGUCAUUAGUUAUGAAUUUUUUAACAUAACCACACGUUAAACAUAAAAUGUAGAGCAAUUUUUAAGCCUUUUUGAGGACUAGGAGUUCACGCUGCAUCUCCCGUGGGCAGGAUGGGAGGAGGGCAAAGUGCAGGAUGCUAACAGUUCCCUGCAGGGGAAGAGCCCAGGGGCUCCAGGUGCCUGGGUGGAGCCCAAAGGUCAAGGGGACUUCACCCCCAGGCCCACUGCCUGGAAAAGUCAUCAAAUAGAGGAGGAAAGCGCUGAGCACAGAUAAUGCACCAAAAUGGCCUGGUCACAGCAGGGAGAGAAAGCAGCUGGGCAGGGAGGGAGAGCAGCCAGGCAGGGAGGGAGAGCAGCCGGGCAGGGUUGCGCAUGUGCCGGUCUGUAGAGCGGUCUGCGGUGCGGUCUGUCGUGCGGUCUGCGGUGCGGUCUGUAGUGCUUUCCAGAUGUGAGGCUCCAAUAAGCUUCCUGUAUGAGCUGGGCAUGGAAAUGCCCCUUCGGAUCCCUCCAGGGAAGGCCCUGCCCUCCAGCAUUGGGAGAGCAGCCUCAGAUACCUCCAGCUGUCCCUCCUUCAGGCUGCCUCAGCUGCAGAUGGUCACCUUACCCGGGACCAGCUGUGGGGGGUAUGAAUGCCCAGCCCUUCCCGCCCACCUGCAGCAACUCUAACAGGCCCCACAGCCCAGGGCUCCCUGGGGGUGCCGAGGCUGGGCCAGGGUGCAUCUUGCUGGGCUUCUCUCUCUGCCCCUUUCCCAGGCAUGGGUCCCUGAUCAAUAUCCUGUGCUCUAAACUCCAUCUUAGCAUCUGCAAGCAAGUGGGGGACAAUACUCUGUCUCAGCUUCAAAGAAGACGGAGAACUGAUAAGGGCGAAUGCCAAGACUGGGCCAGGGAGGGUGCAGCAAAGAGCCACGGCAGGUGGGAGGAGUGGGGGGGCUGCCCCUGAACAGUGGGGAGCAGGGCUGGGGAGGACGGGGCCCUACAAGCCUGGGCUACACCCAGGGACCAAUUCCUAAGCAGAAAAACCACAAGCAGUGAGCCCGGAGGGGUUGGGCCUGGGGUUAAGGGGAGAAGGAGAGACGGUGAGAGCAGUCAGACAUCCCACUCACGGGCAGGGCAUGGAGGGCUUGGCUGGGCGCCAUCUCCCAGAUCCAGGAGGAGCAGGAGGAGGCCAGAGGUGGCUGCGCCAUUUCUUUCCUCCACCUGGCCCAGGACUUCCUGACUCUGAGAAACACAGCCCUCUAACUGGCCAAACAAGGUGUAGGUGAUGAAAACAUGUCCCUUUGCCACUGGGGCAGCUGUCAACAGCAUUAAGGUGUGUGUUAUCUUUUGAGCUCCAUGUUCCCUGUGGUGAAGAAGGCUGGAUGCCUCCAAGCAGGGCAGAGAGAGAUGAGAGCAAGGGCCAGAGAAACAGGGAAGAGAGAGAUGGGAGCAGGGGCUGGAGAAGGAACUUGCCUGAAGCCUUCUCUUCUGAAUCUGCAUAUAACUUCAUAUAGAAAGAGAACAUACGUAUUGAUAAGAGGAAAAUGAUUCAAUAGAAAAAAAAAAAAGGGAAGGAUCUGCACAGCUAAUUUCACAUGGGAGGAAAUCCAGAUGAAAGCGAUGCAGGACAGGCAAACACCAAAAUCGGGGCUUGCCCAGGAGGGAAGAACUCCAGGGCGGGCCAGGGGUGUGAGGCAGAAGCUUUUGUGGAAGCCCCGUGCACAGCGGCGGCAACGGAGGGACUGCUCUUGGUAAAGCAGGGCUCCCCCAUAGGCAGUGCGCCCAGGGUAGCAGCUUAGCGGCAGGUCUGCAGUCAUGUUUAGGUCCACUUUUAAUUAUAUGCAAAUUAGGGGUGGUUUAUGCAGAACUUUUAGGAAAAGGGUGGUAACUUCCGGGUUGUCAGGUUAUUGAAGGGGUGGUACUCCGGGUAUUGCCGUGACAAUGGUAAACUGACAUGGCACACUGGUUUUCUGCCCCUCCCUGUUUCAGCUAGUCUUCAAUUUGGUCCUGUGUCCAAGAGCCCCGCCUCUGGACUCAGGUCCCACCUCCUACCUCAAAAGCAAAGGUCUGAAGGUGGUCCCACCACGCUAGCAAAGAGGGAGAUGGAAUUGAGGCCUACUGAAGUGCUCCACAGCCUAACACUCACUAGCAGAAGCCUUGUGGCCUUUGCUGAUAUUGAGGAAUUAACGGGAUUGCACCUAGGUUGCUAAAAACUCUUGGUGCCUUAGAAAUGCGUAUGGGUGUCUGUUGGUGAAAUACCAUAAUGUUUGGCAGGGAUUUGUUCUAAAUAUGUUCCAGAAAAUGGCCAGGGAAACAGAUGCAAUACAAUUAGUAAAAGCUGAUGGUGGUCGCAGCUGGGUGGUGAGUAUGGUUCGUUGUUCUGUUCUCUGGACUUUUGUGUAUGUUUGAGAUUUUCCUUAGAAAGAGUUGAGAAAAGAACAAAGAACCAUACGCCUGUCUGGUGAGAAUGUGGGCAACAGUUCUCUCACACAGUCUGCUAAAAUGAGGUCAUGAGGUGGGGCCCUGGUCCAAUCUGACUGUCCUUACGAGAAGAGGCGAGUGCACGGACACACAGAGGGGUGGCCACAGGAGGAUACUGGGAGGAGACAGCGUCCACAAGCCACGCAGGGAGGCCCCAGGAGAAACCAGCCCUGCCCACACCCUGAUCUCAGACCUCCAGCCUCUGGGGCAGGGAGAAAACAAACUUCUGCUGUCUAUACCACCUGGUCAGUGAUAUUUUGUUAGGUAGCCCUCGGAAGCUGGUAUAUGGACCCCAUGUUUAUAAGAACAAAUAAUAGCAAAAAUCAGUCUACAGAAGCAUGGAUACACUUGGAUUGUGCGUGUUUGUGGUGGUGGCAGAGGUGGGGGGUCUGGGGAGGGUCUCCACUCACCUUCACAUUUUGUGCAUUGCUUCCCGCCGGCAUGCGUUACCUUUGUCACUUAAAUAACAAAUGGCAAUUGUCUGAGAAUCAAAAAGAAAAAAAAGAGAAAUGAAAGGAAAAUGAUUCUGGACCAUGUAUCAGGACAGUGGGAUAAACUGAGGCUGCAAAUUUCUGGAACUUUCCAAAAAUUCCAUAUAGAACUACCUUUAAAAAAAUUUAAUUGGGUAUAUAAAGUGGAAAUUUAUAGAAAAAGGAAAAUGUUCCCUUUUGCUAAUGCUUCUUGCAGGUACAGAGUGAGCCUAUGAUGUUUACCAUAGGGCUGUGACACUGUGCUAUAUAUGUGAUUAUAUAUACUUUGGCUUGCUCAUCAUAGUACCACAUUUUGUCUUUCAAUAAGGAGGACAUUUUCUUGUAGUUCUGCAGAGAAUCUGAGAAUCACAGUCUUAAGAGGAAUCCAGUUCCAAACCUCAAAACUUCCUACAGAUUCUUUCUCCCUCUUGGCCUUGAAGCCUUUUGCCCCUGGCAAGUCAGUGAGUCUCUCAUUUCACCUCUCAUGGGGAAUGAGUCUGACGCUGCCCAUGCUCCCAGCCCGGUCCUCUAAGGCCUGGUCGGGAGGGUGGGGGUGCAGGACACAUUUGUCCACUCACCUCUGGAGCAAAACUCAGCAACAUGCUGGGCUUCAAGUCCAGUGAUUCGGAAGGAUGACAGUAACCCGUGUGGGAAGCCCCGGGGCCCGGCGCAGCCAUGCACUGGUUCUUUGACGUCCUGUCUGCUGCUUCUGCUUUGCCUCUUUGUGCUUUAAUAGGACACCGCGAUUUUUCAUUAUAAAAUCCCCCAAGUGCAUAAUGUUUUGAAAUCAUUUAUGAGAAUAAAGAACCGCCACAUGCUGUGAAAGGAAAAUAAAUCUUGGGGCUCCAAAAUCACUAAGCUAAAGGGAAAAGUCAAGCUGGGAAUUGCUCAGGGCCAACCUGCCUCCCACUCUAUUCAAAGUCACCCUUCUGCUCACUGAGAUAAACGCAUCUCUUGUUGCCUCCUUUGGAGAGGCUAAUCAGAAACUCAAAAGGAUGCAACCAUUUGUUUCUACCUGUGACCUGGAAGCCCCUUUCCUGCUUCCUGUCUUGGCUUCAAGUUGUCCCGCCUUUCUGGACCGAGGUCCCGCCUUUCUGGACCAAGCCAAUGUUCAUCUUGCAUAUGAUGAUUGAUGUCACUGAGGCCCCGCCUUUCCAGACCAAGCCAGUGUUCAUCUUACAUACGUUGAUUGAUGUCACUGAGGCCCUGCCUUUCUGGACCAAGCCAAUGUUCAUCUUACAUAGGUUGAUUGAUGUCACUGAGGCCCUGCCUUUCCGGACCAAGCCAAUGUUCAUCUUGCAUAUGUUGAUUGAUGUCACUGAGGCCCCGCCUUUCCGGACCAAGCCAAUGUUCAUCUUACAUAUGUUAAUUGAUGUCGCCGAGGCCCUGCCUUUCCGGACCAAGCCAAUGUUCAUCUUGCAUAUGUUGAUUGAUGUCACCGAGGCCCCGCCUUUCCGGACCAAGCCAAUGUUCAUCUUACGUAUGUUGAUUGAUGUCUCAUGUCUCCCUAAAACGUAUAAAACCAAGCUGUGCUCUGACCACCUUUGGCACGUGUGGUCAAAACUUCUGAGGCUGUGUCACAGACACACAUCCUUAACUUGG